rnacentral:rRNA from 1 species
GAUGAACGCUGGCGGCGUGCCUAAUACAUGCAAGUCGAGCGAACAGACGAGGAGCUUGCUCCUCUGACGUUAGCGGCGGACGGGUGAGUAACACGUGGAUAACCUACCUAUAAGACUGGGAUAACUUCGGGAAACCGGAGCUAAUACCGGAUAAUAUAUUGAACCGCAGUGUUCAAUAGUGAAAGACGGUUUUGUUGGCACUUAUAGAUGGAUCCGCGCCGCAUUAGCUAGUUGGUAAGGUAACGGCUUACCAAGGCAACGAUGCGUAACCGACCUGAGGGGGUGAUAGGCCACACUGGAACUGAGACACGGUCCAGACUCCUACGGUAGGCAGCAGUAGGGAAUCUUCCGCAAAGGGCGAAAGCCUGACGGAGCAACGCCGCGUGAGUGAUGAAGGUCUUCGGAUCGUAAAACUCUGUUAUUAGGGAAGAACAAAUGUGUAAGUAACUAUGCACGUCUUGACGGUACCUAAUCAGAAAGCCACGGCUAACUACGUG